AUUGAACGCUGGCGGCAUGCCUAACACAUGCAAGUCGAACGGCAGCACAGUGCGUAGCAAUACGUAUGGGUGGCGAGUGGCGGACGGGUGAGGAAUGCAUCGGAAUCUACCCAGUAGCGGGGGAUAACCUGGGGAAACUCAGGCUAAUACCGCAUACGACCUAUGGGUGAAAGCGGGGGACCGUAAGGCCUCGCACUAUUGGAUGAGCCGAUGCCGGAUAGCUAGUUGGUAGGGUAACGGCCUACCAAGGCGACGAUCCGUAGCUGGUCUGAGAGGACGAUCAGCCACACCGGAACUGAGACACGGUCCGGACUCCUACGGGAGGCAGCAGUGGGAAUAUUGGACAAUGGGGGAAACCCUGAUCCAGCAAUGCCGCGUGUGUGAAGAAGGCCUGCGGGUUGUAAAGCACUUUCGGAGGGGAACAAAAGCGUCGGCUAACACCCAGCGUCUUGAUUUAACCCUUAUAAGAAGCACCGGCUAACUCUGUGCCAGCCGCCGCGGUAAC
rnacentral:rRNA from 1 species